AGAGUUUGAUCCUGGCUCAGCCUGAACGCUGGCGGCGUGGCUAAGACAUGCAAGUCGCACGGAGGUAGCAAUACCUCAGUGGCGAACGGGUGAGUAAUGAAUCGCUAAUGUGCCCCGGACUCUGAGAUAGCUGCCCGAAAGGGCAGGUAAUAUCAGAUGAUAUAACUUGAUCGCAUGAUCGAGUUCUCAAAGGUCCGCCGGUCUGGGAGCAGGCGAUUUUGUAUCAGCUAGUUGGUGAGGUAACGGCUCACCAAGGCGACGACGCAUAGCCGGACUGAGAGGUUGGCCGGCCACAUUGGGACUGAGACACUGCCCAGACUCCUACGGGGGGGCUGCAGUAACGAAUCUUCCCGCAAUGGUACGAAAGUAUGACGGAGCGACGCCCGCGUGCCAGGACGAAGCCCUUCGGGGGUGGUAAACUGCUGGUCAGGGGUUAGAAAAGUUUCUGAAUCAACCCCAGAAGAAGGCACGGCUAAACUCCUGUGGCCAGGCAGCCCGCCGGUAAAGACAGAAGGUUGCCAAAGCCGUUAGGGCGGAAUCACUGGGCUUAAAGCGGUGGUGGUAGGGCGGGACAUUUCUAAGUACCCUUGGUGGAAAUCCCCACGGUCUUUAAACCGUGCGAUCUUGCGUUUGAUAUACAGUGUUGUCGUUGCGGGCAUUCUACGAGGCUACUGGGAACAAAACAGGUGGGAGCGGGUGAAAAUGCGUUAGAUAUCGUUUGCGACCGCCAUUGGGUGAAAAACAAGUAGCUGAGGGGAUGUGCCCGACGCCUGACAACACGAACACCCAGGUGCAGCCGAACCGGGAUUUAGAUACCCCCGUUACUCCUCUGCCUGUAAACGAUUGUCGACUUAGAUCGUUAGUGUCUCUGACGCCUUUACCGGUUCGAAAGCAAAAAGUGUUAAGUCGACCCGCCCUGGAAAAGUUACAGGUCCCCCAAGCUCUAAAAACUCAAAAGGAAAUUGACCGGGGGGCUUCACCACAAAGCGGUGGACGCCAUUGUGGUUCAAAUUUCGGAAGCAACCGCCGCAGAAACUUUCACCUGGGCCCUGACCAUGCCUAGGGAAUUAUCCCCUGUGGAAAGGCAAGGGUAGGCCCCUCUCCGGGGGUACCAACUUAGUACACAGGUGCUGCCAUGGCUGGUCGUCCAGCUUCGUGGUCGUGAGAGAUGUUCGGGUUUAAGUCCCCUUAACGAGCCGAAACCUUUGCCCUUAGUUACCCAGCGAGUAAAGUCGCGGGACUCUAAGGGGACUGCCGGUGUCAAACCCGGAGGAAGGUGGAGAUGACGUCAAGUCCUCAUGGCCUUUAUGCCCAGGGCCACACACGUGCUACAAUGGGGUGCACAAAGCGAACCGAGACCGCAAGGUGGAGGAAAUCGCACAAAUCACCCCCCAGUUCAGAUCGGAGGCUGCAACUCGCCUCCGUGAAGUUGGAAUCGCUAGUAAUCGCGGAUCAGCUACGCCGCGGUGAAUGUGUUCCUGAGCCUUGUACACACCGCCCGUCAAGUCAUGGGAGCCGGAAAUAGCCGAAGUUGCCUCACCACUGAGGUGCCUACGCUAGGUUCGGUGACUGGGACUAAGUCGUAACAAGGUAACC
rnacentral:rRNA from 1 species